rnacentral:rRNA from 1 species
AUUGAACGCUGGCGGCAGGCUUAACACAUGCAAGUCGAGCGGAGCGAGGGUGCUUGCACCUUAGCUUAGCGGCGGACGGGUGAGUAAUACAUCGGAACGUACCCAAGAGUGGGGGAUAACGUAGCGAAAGUUACGCUAAUACCGCAUACGAUCUAAGGAUGAAAGCAGGGGACCGCAAGGCCUUGUGCUCCUGGAGCGGCCGAUAUCUGAUUAGCUAGUUGGUGAGGUAAAGGCUCACCAAGGCAUCGAUCAGUAGCUGGUCUGAGAGGACGACCAGCCACACUGGAACUGAGACACGGUCCAGACUCCUACGGGAGGCAGCAGUGGGGAAUUUUGGACAAUGGGGGCAACCCUGAUCCAGCAAUGCCGCGUGAGUGAAGAAGGCCUUCGGGUUGUAAAGCUCUUUUGUCAGGGAAGAAACGGUGAAGGCUAAUAUCCUUUGCUAAUGACGGUACCUGAAGAAUAAGCACCGGCUAACUACGUGCCAGCCGCCGCGGUAAUAC